CCGGUCGCUGCCUUUAAAGGUAGAGGAAAGUCCGGACUCCGCAGGGCAGAGGACCCGCUUGUUAAAGGCGGGAGGCGCCGGGUAAGCCGGCGUUAUGGAAAGUGCCACAGAGAAUAGACAGCGGGGCUUGCCCCGUGAUGGUGAAAGGGUGGGGUAAGAGCCCACCGGCCUGAUUGAAACGUCGGGCGCACGGAAAACCCUCCUCGGAGCAAGAUCAAAUAGGGAAUCGACGGGCUGCCCGUCCGGCGCAGGUUCUUGGAACCUGCUUGAGAUUCCGGGUUGAUCGCGUAGAUGAAUGAUCGGACCUUCUGUUAUCACUUGCGGAAACAGGGGGGAACAGAAUCUGGCUUAUUCGCCGC
rnacentral:RNase_P_RNA from 1 species